rnacentral:rRNA from 1 species
AAAUUGAAGAGUUUGAUCAUGGCUCAGAUUGAACGCUGGCGGCAGGCCUAACACAUGCAAGUCGAACGGUAACAGGAAGCAGCUUGCUGCUUUGCUGACGAGUGGCGGACGGGUGAGUAAUGUCUGGGAAACUGCCUGAUGGAGGGGGAUAACUACUGGAAACGGUAGCUAAUACCGCAUAACGUCGCAAGACCAAAGAGGGGGACCUUCGGGCCUCUUGCCAUCGGAUGUGCCCAGAUGGGAUUAGCUAGUAGGUGGGGUAACGGCUCACCUAGGCGACGAUCCCUAGCUGGUCUGAGAGGAUGACCAGCCACACUGGAACUGAGACACGGUCCAGACUCCUACGGGAGGCAGCAGUGGGGAAUAUUGCACAAUGGGCGCAAGCCUGAUGCAGCCAUGCCGCGUGUAUGAAGAAGGCCUUCGGGUUGUAAAGUACUUUCAGCGGGGAGGAAGGGAGUAAAGUUAAUACCUUUGCUCAUUGACGUUACCCGCAGAAGAAGCACCGGCUAACUCCGUGCCAGCAGCCGCGGUAAUACGGAGGGUGCAAGCGUUAAUCGGAAUUACUGGGCGUAAAGCGCACGCAGGCGGUUUGUUAAGUCAGAUGUGAAAUCCCCGGGCUCAACCUGGGAACUGCAUCUGAUACUGGCAAGCUUGAGUCUCGUAGAGGGGUAGAAUUCGGGUGUAGCGGUGAAAUGCGUAGAGAUCUGGAGGAAUACCGGUGGCGAAGGCGGCCCCGGACGAAGACUGACGCUCAGGUGCGAAAGCGUGGGGAGCAAACAGGAUUAGAUACCCUGGUAGUCCACGCCGUAAACGAUGUCGACUUGGAGGUUGUGCCCUUGAGGCGUGGCUUCCGGAGCUAACGCGUUAAGUCGACCGCCUGGGGAGUACGGCCGCAAGGUUAAAACUCAAAUGAAUUGACGGGGGGCCCGCACAAGCGGUGGAGCAUGUGGUUUAAUUCGAUGCAACGCGAAGAACCUUACCUGGUCUUGACAUCCACGGAAGUUUUCAGAGAUGAGAAUGUGCCUUCGGGAACCGUGAGACAGGUGCUGCAUGGCUGUCGUCAGCUCGUGUUGUGAAAUGUUGGGUUAAGUCCCGCAACGAGCGCAACCCUUAUCCUUUGUUGCCAGCGGUCCGGCCGGGAACUCAAAGGAGACUGCCAGUGAUAAACUGGAGGAAGGUGGGGAUGACGUCAAGUCAUCAUGGCCCUUACGACCAGGGCUACACACGUGCUACAAUGGCGCAUACAAAGAGAAGCGACCUCGCGAGAGCAAGCGGACCUCAUAAAGUGCGUCGUAGUCCGGAUUGGAGUCUGCAACUCGACUCCAUGAAGUCGGAAUCGCUAGUAAUCGUGGAUCAGAAUGCCACGGUGAAUACGUUCCGGGCCUUGUACACACCGCCCGUCACACCAUGGGAGUGGGUUGCAAAAGAAGUAGGUAGCUUAACCUUCGGGAGGGCGCUUACCACUUUGUGAUUCAUGACUGGGGUGAAGUCGUAACAAGGUAACCGUAGGGGAACCUGCGGUUGGAUCACCUCCUUACCUUAAAGAAGC